ACCUGGCUGGGUCAGUUGGGGGAACAUGGGACUCUUGAUCUCAGGGUUGUGAGUUCAAGCCCCACGUUGGGUG
rnacentral:tRNA from 1 species